CCGUCAUUUUUUCCUGUCUUUUACGUUCCUUUGCUUGCUGUGUGUUUUGUGUGUGCGUUUUACACGCGUUUCUCUUACCAGCAAUCGGAAUCGGAAUUUGGUGCUGAAAAGCAGAAGGACGACGUGCGAAACAUUGCCUUAGCCCCCCGAAACACCCGGAAGUCGGUGAAAUCGAAGUGAAAUUAAGGCACAGGGAAAAUGAGUAGCUCUGAGGAGGUAUCAUGGAUUUCCUGGUUUUGCGGACUGCGCGGUAAUGAAUUCUUCUGUGAGGUGGACGAAGAUUACAUACAAGACAAAUUCAACUUGACCGGACUGAACGAACAGGUACCGAACUAUCGUCAUGCUUUGGAUAUGAUUCUGGACCUUGAGCCUGAGGAUGAAAUUGACGAUAAUCCCAACCAGUCGGAUCUGAUCGAACAGGCAGCAGAGAUGCUUUACGGUUUGAUUCAUGCUAGAUACAUUCUUACUAACCGUGGCAUAGCUCAAAUGAUAGAAAAAUAUCAAAGUGGCGACUUUGGUCACUGCCCACGCGUUUAUUGUGAGAGUCAACCAAUGCUUCCACUAGGUCUGUCGGAUGUACCCGGUGAGGCAAUGGUAAAGUCCUACUGUCCCAAAUGCAUCGACGUUUACACACCAAAGUCCUCUAGACAUCAUCAUACUGAUGGCGCAUACUUCGGAACUGGAUUCCCGCACAUGUUGUUCAUGGUACACCCAGAGUACCGUCCUAAACGUCCUGCAAAUCAAUUCAUACCACGUCUCUACGGUUUUAAGAUUCACUCGUUAGCGUAUCAAAUCCAGCUGCAGGCAGCAGCGAACUUUAAGGCACCGCUUCGAGGGGUAAAUGGCAAUCGUGAUGUAUUACCGAAAGUUUAACCUUAUAAACAUUAAGAAUGGAAGACGAAAGCGUGGUUUGUUUAGGUUGUCUACCAGCAGAAAUGUGUUACUUUGUCUUUCGUUGUUUGGAGUGUUUGGAAUCCGGAAUACGCUAUUUCAGUUUCGUCACCACGGGAAAUUGGGUUUCAAAUUUUCUAGAAUGUUGUAUAAACGAGAUAUACUUCUUGUAUGUAAAAGUUUUAAUGAAACAAUCAUUGCGAAUUUCUUUAUAAAGAUAAAUUGAAGAAACUGUUUUUCUUCAAUAGUACUGAUACCUUGAUUUUGUUUUGUUCUAUUAUCACUCUUUUAUACUGUACUGAUCGCACAAACUAUCAAGCUGGUCCUUUUUAUUAAACGUACAAUCAUCACAGGCAUCGCUCCGACAUUUCCCUUGCUGUUGUUUCUAAUAUUAGUUUUAUGAGGAUAGUAAAGUAUCUGGAAAUGUGUAAUGCGACUAUAUGGGUAUUAGUUGAUCAUGUUCCUCUGUCGGUUCUAGGAGCAUAACCUAAACAGAACAAUACACAUAAAAAAACCAUUAUGUUCGAACAAAAUGCAUUAAUAGUCUCUAAUGAUCCUUGUUAAUGGAAAUAUUCUAUUAAAUUUCUAAUUCUUCACUGUAUCUGGACGGUACACAAACCCCUGAUGAGAACCUCAUUGCCCAUCACUCAGGAUUUAAACCACUGAGCAAAUUUGAAUAAGUGAUCAUUGAAAUACUAAACUUAUUUUCCGUUUUCUUCCCUGUUUUAUUUUGUUGUUGUAUCUAAAACCUUCUCGUUGGUGUAUCGUGCAUUGCAUAAUGUGAAUAAUCAUCGUCCUGCCCUCCUGUCCUGUACCGCAAUGCUACAUCAACCGCAAAAAACGUAAUGUAUUUCAAUACUUGAAGAGCUCGGCGAAGGGCAUCGAUAACUGAACCGCAAGCCGCCGAGACUAUAUCGAGAAGAUAGUUUGAGCCACCCUCCCGAUAUAGGAUCAACUACUCCCCACAUCAAGCGGCGUGGCGUGCGAGGGUGCAUGUGUGUAUUUGUGUGGGUGUAUGUGCAUGUGGUUAAGGGUAAGCCUGCAGAAGUGGAAGAACCUGUGUGGAGAAUUUAGCAGAACGCAAAACACAUGUAGAACACGCUAAGCGUCGUUCGCUAGGAUUUUUAUUUUUAGUUUUAGAACGUUGAUUUCUUUAUCGUCCCUCGUCCAUAUACCUUCUGUCCGCUUUAGAGUUCUCAGGAGCUUGGUAAAGGAAUAUGGAUGAAAAGCCGCACACGGAGUAAAGGAUCCGUCGUUGGAUUGUUAUUGUAGAGUAGCGUUCUAUAGGUGUAAUGUUUUGGCUAGGGUUCUUAAUACGAUUGCGUGCGCCUGUAAAACCUUACGUGAAAGAUCAAAUGCAAACACCACCACAAUGCACAUAUGCGCACACUUACAUGUAGCACACAUACACACACACACAGGACAGGAAAGAAAAAAACAAUUAAGGUAAUCGAUGUAGGAAAAUAGGACGGCGGCGGGGACGGGCAAGGAUAAGGAUGAUGAAAGCGAUGAAUUAACAAUAUUGUCAAAAUCCUAAACUAUUCGAACCUCGUACUGGGCAAAUCUUUAUCAGUUCGCAUACAUGGAACGUCUUUUUUCUUAUUGCCUUUUUGUUCACAUAGAGCAGCUCGAGUAAUUCGCGAGGGACGAGCGUUAGAACCAUCUGUAGCUAAACAGGUGGAUGGAUAGGAAGAUACCAUGCUUAUAAAGCUUAUUAGUCUGGUCUCGAUGGUGAUGAGGCGCAAAUAUAUUGUAUAGUUCGAUUUUUCUCUUCGCGAGAGAAAUCAUUUGCGAUUGUUCGAAGAAAGUAAUUUAUUUUCCAUUUGCCUUUUUUAAUUCGCCCGAUUUUGGUGAUUUAUGUGCGCUUCUUGAAGCAAAAUAAGACCUGUACAAUAAUAGCCACUUCCUUUUUUUCUGCUAGGAAAUCUAUCCUAUGUCCACGGAUCUGUGGUGCACUGGAAAAAGCUACAUAUUGGAAGAAUAUCUAGAUUGUUUAAUAGCUUUUGUUCCACUACUUCUUAUUCUGGAAUAAUUUUGUAAUAUGUUGCUAGUACUACCGCAUCCAUAAUGCCCGUCACAUUCGCAGAGUUCAGAAUAACAUUUGGCGAAGCAAAGAGAGCGAGGAAGUGAAACAAAUAAAAUAAAAGAACAAUAACUAUACUGAAAAGGAAGAACAGAAAACCACAAAAAAAGAAAUAGACAAACAUGUAGCGUAAAAAUUGGAGGCCGAUCCACGAGCCAUAAGAAAAUUUCCACACAUUAAGAGAUAAUGCAAAAAUCAUUAAAAAGAAAAAACACGACCACCAACAUCGUUUAUCAUCAUCCCCACCAACACUCAGCCACAGUGUGUUGAUGUCGCUUUCCCGGCAAGAGCGUAGGGGGCCCGUGUGUAGGCUUAGGUAAUAAUACUUUUUAACAUUUUAGUUAUCCUUUUCCCCAUCAAAACGAUAAACGAAAAACAAUGGAAACAGACAGACAGACGGAUCGAAGAUAGAGUAUCUUUUUCACAUAUUUAUCUGUUUUUGUUGUACUUUGUGUGAGGCAGGGUGAAAAUUAGUUCCAUUUGCUCUUUUUCCUCCCUUUCUUGCCCACCCGGCUAUCUCAAGAAUUCACUGCAAAGCGCCUUUUCUUUCUCCGUGCGUGUUUCUUCCCUCCCAUUUCUCUUGCAAUUCGAAGAUGGUAUGGAGGUGUCCUUGCCUUUUCGCUACUGUUUCCAUAAACUUAGGGCAUUUUGUUUUUAUACCGAGGGAGACUGCUUCUGUUUUCUCGUCAACUAUGAUUUACAUUAAUAUCUAAUUAGAAGAAAAUGGCAUUUGCAAUUUAUAUGCAUCAUGCAGCAACAGCAGCAACAAGAUGAAGGAGGAAGGAAGGAACUUGUAGGAACUAUUUCGCGUUCCCUUUUGGGGGAAAACUAUAUUAAUAAUAAUAAUAAUAACAAAAGAAACUUGAUUGCUAGUAAACGAAUGCGGAAACAGAUCGAUGAGUAGUAGUAAAUGGGAAAUGUAAUAGACACACAACAGCAUGUACUGAAGGAUAAGAAAUACAGAAACAAAAAAAAAAAGAUUCAAUAAUAACAACCGAACAACAGCAACAAAUAAAACCUCCAAAAUUCUUUCUC